AGAGUUUGAUCCUGGCUCAGAUUGAACGCUGGCGGCAUGCUUUACACAUGCAAGUCGGACGGCAGCACAGAGAAGCUUGCUUCUUGGGUGGCGAGUGGCGAACGGGUGAGUAACAUAUCGGAACGUACCGAGUAAUGGGGGAUAACUAAUCGAAAGAUUAGCUAAUACCGCAUAUUCUCUGAGGAGGAAAGCAGGGGACCUUCGGGCCUUGCGUUAUUUGAGCGGCCGAUAUCUGAUUAGCUAGUUGGUGGGGUAAAGGCCUACCAAGGCGACGAUCAGUAGCGGGUCUGAGAGGAUGAUCCGCCACACUGGGACUGAGACACGGCCCAGACUCCUACGGGAGGCAGCAGUGGGGAAUUUUGGACAAUGGGCGCAAGCCUGAUCCAGCCAUGCCGCGUGUCUGAAGAAGGCCUUCGGGUUGUAAAGGACUUUUGUCAGGGAAGAAAAGGCUGUUGCUAAUAUCGACAGCUGAUGACGGUACCUGAAGAAUAAGCACCGGCUAACUACGUGCCAGCAGCCGCGGUAAUACGUAGGGUGCGAGCGUUAAUCGGAAUUACUGGGCGUAAAGCGAGCGCAGACGGUUACUUAAGCAGGAUGUGAAAUCCCCGGGCUCAACCUGGGAACUGCGUUCUGAACUGGGUGACUAGAGUGUGUCAGAGGGAGGUAGAAUUCCACGUGUAGCAGUGAAAUGCGUAGAGAUGUGGAGGAAUACCGAUGGCGAAGGCAGCCUCCUGGGAUAACACUGACGUUCAUGCUCGAAAGCGUGGGUAGCAAACAGGAUUAGAUACCCUGGUAGUCCACGCCCUAAACGAUGUCAAUUAGCUGUUGGGCAACUUGAUUGCUUAGUAGCGUAGCUAACGCGUGAAA
rnacentral:rRNA from 1 species